UUAUCCAGGUUUUGACACUUGUGACGUCAUCAGUUUCGAAAACUGUUUUUAUUAAGACAAUUACCUUCAAGUGUCCAGUUACUCACAAGUUAAUACAAUAUUUAGUUGGGAAUUUCACUUCAGUAGCUUUUUUUUAAGUAUUACUCAUUGCAGUACUCACUUUCUAUUUCAAAAUACUGACUACUGAAUAUAAGGUAUCCUUAAAGAAAAUGGUUUCCUUGAAAGAAGUGUUUUCUGAGGAAUCUAUAUCAAGACUUUUAUUGCAAUAUAUACCAAUUCUAAACCAUUACUCAUUUUAUUUUACUAUUUUUAAACACGAUUUUCUCAAGAACGAAGCAUUGUCCGAAAAAAUUUUAUUCUGCAUUUUGUUACUACUUGUUAUUAUUCGCGUUUUUUUAACGUAAAAUCACCCUAUUCCCGAUUGUACGACGAUUGCUAAGACACCCUGUAUAGCAAACAAGGAAAAGGAAUCAAGGGUAAAUCAGAGAUCUACCUGACCGUUGAGGUAACUGAACCUUUCUAUAAAAGAAGAAGCGAGAGUAAGGAGAAAGAAAGACAAAGAGGUUAGAUCGAAAUUCGUUCCGAUUUUUUUAAAGGAGGUCGAGGAAUGACCUUUCAGGAAGCCGAAAAGGGGCUUCGCGUGGUGACCAUGUGAAAGUUGCCUUUUGAUAGACGUUGCUCUCCUCCGUUCCCCACCCCUAUCUCUUUCUCGAUAGUUUUCCAGUGUUUCACAGGUAAGAUUUCUUACGAGAGCAUCUUCUCAGCUGCGUAAGAACGUGAGAGAGAGCUCGCUUUCGUUUCCUCCUUCUUCCUUUCACGACGUUAACGCAUUCCGCUUUCCCCUCAGUUCAUGUCACUUGUUAUCCUUUUUCUCCUAUUCUUAUUUCUUUUAAUGUUAAUUCUUCUACUUUUUAUUUCCUUUUUAAUACUAUAUAGAUCUUCCUUUUUAAUGGUUUUAUUAGACUAAUAGUAGGUGUUGAUUGAAUCUGGUUGUUUUGCAAAGUGAUGAUUUAAUUUGGUGAGACAUACGUUCAUCAAUUUGGUGUUUUUAACAAAUUUGAGGUUAUAUUCUAUUGACUGGGAUCUUCCUUAUCUGUUUUCUUGUACUUCGCCACUGACAAUGUUUCCUUCCCUUUCUUUUUUCUUUUCUUGUUUUUGGGGGUAUUGAACUUUAUUGUUAUUAAUUAUUUAAUUAUUGUUUAAUUACGAUUUAGAGAACUUCAGUUAGGUGUCAAUAAAGAUUUGUAUUAAUUAAAGUAGCAUUUUUAUAUCAUUAAUAAAAAUAAUACUUCUCUGUAUUGUUCUUAUAUUAUUUAAAUAAUUUUAUGCGUAAUUAAUAUAAAAACAUAAUUAUUACCAAUAUUUUAUCAUAAUUUUGAAACAGAACUAUACAAUUAAAGACA